AUUGAACGCUGGCGGCAGGCCUAACACAUGCAAGUCGAACGAGUCGCGGACGGGUGAGUAAUGACUGGGAAAUUGCCUGAGGGAGGGGGUUAAGUACUGGAAACGGAAGCUAAUUCCGCAUACCAGCGGAUGUGCCCAGGUGGGAGUAGUUUGUAGGUGGGGUAAAGGCUCACCUAGGCGACGACCCCUACCUGGUCUGAGAGGAUGACCAGCCACACUGGAACUGAGACACGGUCCAGACUCCUACGGGAGGCAGCAGUGGGGAAUAUUGCACAAUGGGCGCAAGCCUGAUACAGCCAUGCCGCGUGUAUGAAGAAGGCCUUCGGUUUGUAAAGUACUUUAAGCUGGGAGGCGUUACCCACAGAAGAAGCACCGGCUAACUCCGUGCCAGCAGCCGCGGUAAUUC
rnacentral:rRNA from 1 species